GACGAACGCUGGCGGCGUGCCUAAUACAUGCAAGUAGAACGCACAGUUUAUACCGUAGCUUGCUACACCAUAGACUGUGAGUUGCGAACGGGUGAGUAACGCGUAGGUAACCUGCCUGGUAGCGGGGGGUAACUAUUGGAAACGAUAGCUAAUACCGCAUAAUAUUAAUUAUUGCAUGAUAAUUGAUUGAAAGAUGCAACUGCAUCACUACCAGAUGGACCUGCGUUGUAUUAGCUAGUAGGUGAGGUAACGGCUCACCUAGGCGACGAUACAUAGCCGACCGGAGAUGGUGAGCAGCCACACUGGGACUGUGACACGGCACAGACGCCUACAGGAGGCAGCAGGAGGGAAUCUUCGGCAAGAGACGAAAGACAGACCGAGCAACGCCGCGGGAGUGAAGAAGGUUGUCGGAUCGGAAAGCUCGGUUGUAAGAGAAGAACGGGUGUGAGAGUGGAAAGUUCACUCUGUGACGGUAACUGACCAGGAAGGGACGGCUAACUACGUG
rnacentral:rRNA from 1 species